rnacentral:rRNA from 1 species
GACGAACGCUGGCGGCGUGCUUAACACAUGCAAGUCAAGGGGGCCCAGCAAUGGGCAACCGGCGAACGGGUGCGUAACACGUGAGCAACCUACCGAACUGUGGGGGAUAGCCGGCCUAACGGCCGAGUAAUACCGCAUACGCUCUCAGGGAGGCAUUUCUUUGAGAGGAAACCUACGGGACAGAUCGAGGGGCUCGCGGCCUAUCAGCUAGUUGGCGAGGUAACGGCUCACCAAGGCAACGACGGGUAGCUGGUCUGAGAGGAUGGCCAGCCACAUUGGGACUGAGACACGGCCCAGACUCCUACGGGAGGCAGCAGUGGGGAAUAUUGCGCAAUGGACGAAAGUCUGACGCAGCGACGCCGCGUGUGGGAUGACGGUCUUCGGAUUGUAAACCACUGUCGGGAGGGACGAAUACGCCGCAAGGCGGGUGACGGUACCUCCAAAGGAGGCACCGGCUAACUCCGUGCCAGCCGCCGCCGUAAC